UCUCAUCCAAACCACAUAUCUCAAGGUCCUUUCACGACGGUCUCAAACCCUAAACUCCCUCCAAACCAACCAUGUCUCCCCCUAAACCCUACCAUGUUUCAAGAAACCCUUGCUCCCUCUCUGUCCUAAUCCUCCCUUGAUUCGGACCUGACUCCCUCUCUCCAAUCGCUAGUGUGGAAGCGAACGCUCGGUGUGGUCUCCUUCUCUUCCCUCUACCACUGCCGCUGCUCUAGCCUCCAAAUUCGAUCGGA
rnacentral:lncRNA from 1 species